rnacentral:rRNA from 1 species
AUUGAACGCUAGCGGCAGGCCUAACACAUGCAAGUCGAACGAGUGGCGGACGGGUGAGUAAUAUAUGGGAAACUGCCCGAUGGCGGGGGAUAACUACUGGAAAAGGUAGCUAAUACCGCAUACCAUCGGAUGUGCCGAGAUGGGAUUAGCUAGUUGGUGGGGUAAAGGCUCACCAAGGCGACGAUCCCUAGCUGGUUUGAGAGGAUGACCAGCCACACUGGAACUGAGACACGGGCCAGACUCCUACGGGAGGCAGCAGUGGGGAAUAUUGGACAAUGGGGGAAAGCCUGAUCCAGCCAUCCCGCGUGUAUGAUGAAGGCCUUCGGGUUGUAAAGUACGUUUGGCAGAGAAGCGGUACUUGCAGAAGAAGCACCGGCUAACUACGUGCCAGCCGCCGCGGUAAUUC